ensembl:lncRNA CRNDE colorectal neoplasia differentially expressed
AGACGUCCCGUGGGCUAGGGCCUGGGCCUCGGGCCGCGUCGGCGCCGGUCGAGCCUCUCCGGGUGUCGGGGUUCGGGGCGGGCGCGCGUGGGCGUGGCUCCUCUGUCCACGCCUGUUCCCUUCGUCGCCGCGGCUCUCGUCCGGGACACGGCUUUCCGGAGUAGAGCCCUUGGAGGUGUUAAGUGUGAUGCUUCCAUAAUACAUUUGGAUGCUGUCAGCUAAGUUCACUUCUGAACUAAGGGGUUCCUCCAAAUGUUGGCUGAAAUUCAUCCCAAGGCUGGUCUGCAAAGUCUGCAAUUCAUAAUGGAGCUACUGUACUGGCUAUUGGAAGGAGGAGAUUCUGAAGAUAAGGAGGAUGCCACUGGAAAUGUUGAAAUGAAAAAUAUUCAGCCGUUGGUCUUUGAAAUUUCCUGUGAUGUGUUUCAAUCUAGAUGCAAAGAACAUGGAAAAAUCAAAGUGCUCGAGUGGUUUAAAUAUGUUUUGGGUAUUCCUGUUUAUAGACUAUAAUACUUUUCCAAUUAAAAUCCUCAGUUGUCACGCAGAAGAAGGUUAAGCUGUAUUUGAUUGCCAGUUUUACUGAAAAUGCUUAGUAUUUUACAGUAUCACCAAAUAUAUUUUGUUUAGCCAAGGUAUAGGAAAAAUAAAAUAAAUUGUAUAGGUUGACUUUUUUCUAAAAUGUCUUUAUUGGAUUGAAUGAAUGUUUAUACCUGAAAAAAAAAGGUUCAAAAAAAUUCCUUUUUCUAUCAGAGUCAUUCUUUUGACAAUCAGAUAUUAGACUAGGUUUAAAAUAACUUUCUAAUAUGACUCAUAUUUAUGGGAGGAAAAAGACUUGAAAGAUAUUCCUAUGUGUACUUUAAUUUUCUGUAAUAGUCCCUCUGGAAUAGAAUAUCUCUUCCUCAAACAAA